rnacentral:lncRNA from 1 species
CUUUCUUCAUUCGAAACUCGAACUUGGAAGUAGGGGGACUGGUGUUGGGUAUAAAAUACCCCCCAGUCAAAGUUCAUGAUGGGAAUGACCCUCCGAGGAUUCUACCGACUUCCGACCUUCGAUGGCAUCUUUUCGAAUCUCUCUGGCGCCCGAGCCUCCGUAACACUCCCAAGUUUUGCCGACGGAUAAGCCCCCACCAG